UAAAUACUCCCUCCGUCCCAAAAUUCUUGUCUUACACUUGUCUAGAUACAGAUGUACCAAGUCAUGUUUUAGUAUUAGAUACAUCCGUAUCUAGACAAUUUAAAGACAAGAAUUUUGGGACGGAGAGAGUAUAAG
rfam:Triticum urartu cultivar G1812 contig365742, whole genome shotgun sequence.